rnacentral:rRNA from 1 species
UGGCUCAGAUUGAACGCUGGCGGCAGGCCUUACACAUGCAAGUCGAGCGGUAACAUUCUAGCUUGCUAGAAGAUGACGAGCGGCGGACGGGUGAGUAAUGCUUGGGAACAUGCCUUUAGGUGGGGGACAACAGUUGGAAACGACUGCUAAUACCGCAUAAUGUCUACGGACCAAAGUGGGGGACCUUCGGGCCUCACGCCUAAAGAUUGGCCCAAGUGGGAUUAGCUAGUUGGUGAGGUAAUGGCUCACCAAGGCGACGAUCCCUAGCUGGUUUGAGAGGAUGAUCAGCCACACUGGGACUGAGACACGGCCCAGACUCCUACGGGAGGCAGCAGUGGGGAAUAUUGCACAAUGGGCGCAAGCCUGAUGCAGCCAUGCCGCGUGUGUGAAGAAGGCCUUCGGGUUGUAAAGCACUUUCAGUAAGGAGGAAAGGUUGGAUGUUAAUAGCAUUCAGCUGUGACGUUACUACAG